AUUGAAUUUAAUUCAGGAUUAAAUGCUAUAUUGUAUAAUUUAAUUUAUACUUUAUAUUUUAAUCUAAAAUUAAUAGGGAUAAGCUUAUUAAUUAAUUUAUAAUCUUAAUAUUUUGUUUAAAUUUUGUAGGAUUAAAAAUUUCCAUCAUUUAUUUUGUUAUAAUUAAUUUUAAUUUAUAUUUUAUUUUAAUUAGGUUUAAAUUUUUAUUAAAAAUAAUUAUUUAAUAAAAUAAAUAAUUGUUAUAAUGAUAAAAUUAGUAAGUAUAUAUAAUUAAUAUAUAGUAAUUCGGCAAAAUUAUCCCUCGCCUGUUUAACAAAAACAUGUUCUAAUGUUUAAAUUUUAUUAGAUUUGACCUGCUCAAUGAUAUUAAUUAAAUAGCCGCAGUAUUUUGACUGUGCGAAGGUAGCAUAAUCAAUUGUCUUUUAAUUGAAGGCUUGUAUGAAAGGUUGGAUGAGGGGAUAACUUUCUUUAUAUUAAAAUAUUGAAUUUAAUUUUUAAGUUAAAAAGCUUAAAUUUUUAAAAGGGACGAGAAGACCCUAUAGAAUUUUAUAUUAUUUAUAAAUUAAUUAUUUUGGUUAGUUUUUAAAUAAUUUUAUAAAUAAUAUUUUGUUGGGGUGACAGUGAGAUUUAUUAAACUCUUAUAAUUUAUAUUAUUGUUGAUUGACAUAUUUAUGAUCCUGAUUAUUUGGAUAAUUAGAU
rnacentral:rRNA from 1 species